rnacentral:rRNA from 1 species
AGAUUGAACGCUGGCGGCAGGCCUAACACAUGCAAGUCGAGCGGUAGAGAGGUGCUUGCAUCUCUUGAGAGCGGCGGACGGGUGAGUAAUGCCUAGGAAUCUGCCUAGUGGUGGGGGAUAACGUUCGGAAACGGACGCUAAUACCGCAUAUGUCCUACGGGAGAAAGCGGGGGACCUUCGGGCCUCGCGCCAUUAGAUGAGCCUAGGUCGGAUUAGCUAGUUGGUGAGGUAAUGGCUCACCGAGGCGACGAUCCGUAACUGGUCUGAGAGGAUGAUCAGUCACACUGGAACUGGGACACGGUCCAGACUCCUACGGGAGCAGCAGUGGGAAUAUGGACAAGUGGCGAAAGCCUGAU